rnacentral:rRNA from 1 species
AAGCUCGUAGUUGAAUUUCGGGAUCAGACUGUCGGUCGUGCCUCGGUACGCACUAGCAUUAUUGGUUCCUACCUUCUGAAGAACCCGCGAUGUCAUUAAUUUGGUGUCGUGGGGAAUCAGGACUGUUACUUUGAAAAAACUUAGAGUGUUUAAACGCAGGCGCAUGCUUGAAUACAUUAGCAUGGAAUAAUGGAAUAGGACGUUUGAUUCCAUUUUGUUGGUUUCUAGGAUCGACGUAAUGAUUAAUAGGGAUAGUUGGG